rnacentral:lncRNA from 8 species
AUGAGCAUCCAUAUUCCCGCUGCAGUUUGGUCUAUUCAACACGGCUCUUUUUGUGACAGAACUACCCACCACCAAAGGACCAAGCAGCGGAGAAGAGGACAGAGGCAAGUGAGGGAGGAAUGUUGGAGGCAGCCCCAAGAAUUUUUUAGGGGGGGGCACAAGGGCUAUUUGGCGGGGCGAGAUUACAGCCCCAGGCCAGCUCCCCGUACCCUUGUAGGGCAGACUGGACAGGUCCCGUGCUUUGGGGUUGGGGCUGUGGUGAGGCCUGGGAUUUUCAGGCCGGUAGGCAAGGUACCAGCGCCCCGCAUGUGCCAGGGCGAAGUAGGCAUCGAGCCGGAAGGGGUGAUGCCAACCCUGCGCUCAAGACCGCCAGUGCGCCCUUUCGGUCCGGUGUUUCCCGCCAGACGCACUAGCAUGGAGGUGCGUGUCUCCAGGCUGGCACGUCCUAUACCAGCCCCACGCAUCAGGAGUCUAGUGUGUCAACCCAGCCUCGCCAGUCAACAGUCACCAGAGCUGCCCGCCAGUCAACAGUCGUCAGUGCUGCCCGCCAGUCAACCAUCACCAGAGCUGCCCGCCAGUCAACAGUCGUCAGAGCUGCCCGCCAGUCAACAGUCGUCAGAGCUGCCCCGUCCGUUCAACAGUCGUCAGAGCUGCCCGCCAGUCAACAGUCGCCAGAGAGGCCAGACUGCCCUGAACUGCCGGAGUGGCCAGACUGCCCUGAACUGCCGGAGUGGCCAGACUGCCCUGAACUGCCGGAGUGGCCAGACUGCCCUGAACUGCCAGGGUGGCCAGACUGCCCGGUUCUGCCAGAGGUGCCCGGCCUGUCAGGAUCAGCCCGAGUGGUCCUCCUGCCCUCCGGUCCAGCCCGAGUGGUCCUCCUGCCCUCCGGUCCGGCCCGAGUGGUCCUCCUGCCCUCCGGUCCGGCCCGAGUGGUCCUCCUGCCCUCCGGUCCGGCCCGAGGGGCCCUCCUGCCCUCCGGCCCGGCCCGAGGGGCCCUCCUGCCCUCCGGCCCGGCCCGAGGGGCCCUCCUGUCCUCCGGCCCGGCCCGAGGGGUCCGUCUGCCUGGCGCAGCUAUCGGCUCCACCGAAGUGA